GCAUCUGCAAAUUCAGGUGCCGGGAUUGACCUCCCGGAUAACUAACAAGGCGCAUAACACGCCGAGAGCGUGUUUUUU
rfam:Sodalis sp. TME1 V4_final_sodalis.fa.Contig282, whole genome shotgun sequence.